CCUGCGGAGGGAUCAUUA
rnacentral:rRNA from 71 species